AAGAAGAGAAACCAGACUUUUCAGAGGCCCUGCAAGGGGUAACCUGGACCAGAGAAUAGGUCUCUCCCAGCUGCAGGUGAAGUGGCCCAAUCCCAGUGCUGAUCUGUAUGGAACUUUGACCUGCUCUGUUUUUCUAACCCAGGCCUUAUGAGUUCUGAGAACUGAAGGAAGCUUGGAAAUCUAAGAGGCAGAGGUGAGGAGGGAAUGCAUUCUGUGCAUGUGGGCUAGCCUGUGUAAAGCUACAACUAUGAAUGAGAGAUGGAUUGUCAUUCGUGCAAAGAAGAAUGAAGCUUGGGCCUCAUAAUGGAAGCUCCUGUGAAAAUAGGAUUCAUGGACAGAAAAUUACAUUAAGCAAAUGCUCAUGAAUCUACUGCCUACUGCCUCAAGCCUAAUCCUUUCUUUUUGGAUUUCAAGAACUUUCUUAGACUGAAUCUGUUCUAGUCAGCCAGCAUUUAAUUUUAGCCUUCUCUAGCAUGAAUUCUGCAUGUUAGUGAGAACCUAGCUGCAGCCCCUUCCAGUUUGGCCAUUCUAAAUUUUCAUGUUCCCUCUUCAUGCGGACCAGUGGGUCACAGAUAAUUGUGUGUGUCUGUGUCUGUGUGAUCGUGGAGUUGUUGAAAAGGGUCCAUGAAUCUAUCAGUAAACAAAGAUCCCUCCUCUCUGCGGAAUAAAUGGCAUUUCACAAAUAUGUUUUACUAGUUUUCACAUAGGGCAGGUAGAUGGCACAGUGGAUAGAGUGCUGGGCCUGGA